CCCCCUUUUCCCCUUCUUCUCUUUCCUUUUUUCAAUUAUAUGAUUCUAACUGAUUUUUUUCUCUUGCUAGAAUUGGUCUGGAUAUGAAGCUACUAAACGCAUGAGACACAAAAAUCAUCUUAAUUGAUUGCGGACAAUGGAUUGAAAGUCCACGAGAAGGAGAAAAAGAAUCAACUUUCCAGAUAGGGAUCUCAUUUUUCUUUUAAUAAAUUGAGGGAAAAAUGGAAGAGAAGUCGACGGGAAGAAGAAAAAAAGAUUUAAGUUUUCAAGCUCACCUGAAAUUCAGCUUUCAAGUUAUAUUCUAUUCAUUGGUUUCACAAAGUAGCUAUAGAUUGAGGAACAUCACAAGGAAAUACUAAUGGGAGGAGAAAAAGAUUUAGCUUUUCAGGAAGAAGCAAUCUUUAUUUGUGGUCCAGGAAUAAACAAAUGGUGAAGAUAGCCUUUAAGUGAGAAUAUCUUAAACUAGGUGACUUGGUUGAGCAGAUAUUGUGCACAUCCAUAUUUGGAACUCCAUAGCAUGUUAGCUUCCUUAUUUGGCUAUCUAAAUAGACUAUUCUGUAGUGUGAAAAUGUCAUCUUCUUUUGAUGGGCUUUUGAAUAAUGAAUCAUUAGUUUCUUUUCAUUGAUUAAUUUUAUAGAUUGAUUACACUUUUGUUGUUAGAGUAAGUUUUACUUGGUAAUAAAUUUGUAUAUUUCAUCUUUAACCUUUUGGGUUCAUUUCUUGAACUUCAAUAUUUAUAGGUAUAAACUUGUUGAAAAAAGGAUGAGAGGCAUUGGCAGUAUUCAACAUUUUGCUGACUUGCUAAAUUUGUUAAGAGAAUUUUCUUCACUUUCCUUGGAAUAUGCUUCUGCUGUUCUAUCGUCUAUGUGCAGGUUAUUAGUCAAGAUAUCUGACACUUCUUUAGGCUUUGUUGUUCUAGGCCCAAUCAGAUAUCUUUAUACUUACUGUUAUUUGAUUGUGUGGCUUGAGUUCAAAUUAAGUAAAUUAUUUGAGAGAAUGCUUAAUGAUUUGUUUGGCUUGUUUUGCUUAGCAAUGAGUCAAAGCCCGAAGAGUGGAAGAACUCUUACCGUUUCCCUUGCACUAUCAUGAUUGAAGUGCCAUGCAUCCCUAGAAUCAAGAUUGGAAUUAUUUCUAUGUCUGUCCUGCAUGGAUCUACAGUGAUUAUUUAUUAGCCUCAUUUUUGGAUACAUAUUAUUGUAGACAUUAUGUACCUUUUACAUUUUAAAUAAGAGGUUUCGUUUGUAAA